AAAAGAAAAGAAAAGAAAAAAAAAAAAUACAACACUCCAAUUCCAGAAAUAAAGAGUGAGGUUCAUGAGUAUGUGAGAAGAGAAACAAAAUUUCUUUCUCAGAACGGCGAUCUUCAUUGUAAUUAAAAGCAUGCUAAGCAGGCAUGUGAUAACCAGCACUGCCACAUAUUUUCUGCCACAAUCAUCUAAUAAUCGUCCAUUUACACGAAGAGCAACACAGACAACAAGAGAGAAAGCAGCAUUUGAAGGCUGAAAAAAGGGAUCAAGGUUUCAAAAAGAUCCAAAAAACUGGGUUUACAGAAGAAGACUGAGUGUUGUCUGACCUCAAGCGUAUGGGAUGCCAGGCCAGGCAAAGCAUCUCAGAAAGAUAAAGAUUUGGUUUCCACCAUUUAAUUAUUUUCAUCCAUCUUUAGUAGAAGAGCAGGUAGGAAUCAACACAUAUUUAUAAAGCAUGUGCUAUAUGAAUAUGGCAUUCUGCUCCAGAACAUGAAAAAAAAAAGAUGUUGAGCUUUUCUUUGGGGAAACCAGACUACACACAUGAAAAGUGAUUAAUGUAAAGCAGAAGUUACAUACCUAGAAAUAGUAAGCUUUAUAGGUGAUAAGAUAUGAAGUGAAGUAACUACGGUCAGAGAGAGAAAUUCGGAUAACCAAGGAAAAGAUAGUCAAGUCACUACUGUAAGCCAAAAUCCAUUAGUAACCUUUGAGUGUGUGGUGUCAGCAAUGUGUUUAGAAGUUAGCUAUCAGAGACUGAAAGAAUUAUGAGAAAACAUGUGUCUAAAUUGGAGGCAUGUGAAGAGCCUCGAGAAAGCUCUUCUCUUCAUAGAAUCACAAACUUUAGCACUGGCAGAAAUCUGAUAAAUCAGUCUCUUCAUUUUAUACGUGUAAGUAAGUGAGGCCUGGGGAGGAUCAGAUAACCAGCCAAAGGUCUAUAGCCAGUAAAUUAAGGCUGGAAUCCAGACCUAUGGGCUUGCUACCAUUCACAAGAAUUACAUUCUUUAAGUUAUGAUCUUGGGUUCUUAUUGUCUAUCAAUAAAACUAAUGUUCAAAUAUGUGUUCUUUUCUAAAGCCUUUUAAAGUAUUUUAAAGUCCAUGAAAUCUAGGAAGCCAUAGAUGAUCAUUCUAAGCUUUUUUAGAACAAGAUUACUGAGAAUGCAACUGAAUUUUAGAGACUACCAGUCACCAAGUAAGUUGCUCAUGCACUACUCAGAUUAUCCCGAUAACAUUUGGAUGUUCAGGAAGGUCUUGGUUAGCACCAGUGACUAUCCCUGCUUCUGCUGAGGAUUUUAGCCACAAGUAGGCAAAGAUCCCCAAGGUGAUAGCAACAGUUUGAAAUACACCAUUUAUAGCUGUCCAAGCAAUCUUUCA